CCUACGGGUGGCAGCAGUGGGGAAUAUUGGACAAUGGGGGCAACCCUGAUCCAGCCAUGCCGCGUGUGUGAAGAAGGCCCUCGGGUUGUAAAGCACUUUCAGUGAGGAAGAACGCCUGGUGGUUAAUACCCAUCAGGAAAGACAUCACUCACAGAAGAAGCACCGGCUAACUCCGUGCCAGCAGCCGCGGUAAUACGGAGGGUGCGAGCGUUAAUCGGAAUUACUGGGCGUAAAGCGCGCGUAGGUGGCUUGAUAAGCCGGUUGUGAAAGCCCCGGGCUCAACCUGGGAACGGCAUCCGGAACUGUCAAGCUAGAGUGCAGGAGAGGAAGGUAGAAUUCCCGGGGUAGCGGUGAAAUGCGUAGAGCUCGGGAGGAAUACCAGUGGCGAAGGCGGCCUUCUGGACUGACACUGACACUGAGGUGCGAAAGCGUGGGUAGCAAACAGGAUUAGAUACCCCUGUAGUC
rnacentral:rRNA from 1 species